UACAGAGGGUGCGAGCGUUAAUCGGAAUUACUGGGCGUAAAGAGCGCGCAGGCGGUCGUUCAAGUCGCGUGUGAAAGCCCCCGGCUCAACUGGGGAGGUCACGCGAUACUGAUCGACUCGAAGGCAGGAGAGGGAAGUGGAAUUCCCGGUGUAGUGGUGAAUGCGUAGAUAUCGGGAGGAACACCAGUGGCGAAAGCGAACUUCCUGGCCUGUUCUUGACGCUGAGGCGCGAAAGCUAGGGGAGCAAACGGG
rnacentral:rRNA from 1 species